UACAGAGGCCUCGAGCGUUAUCCGGAAUCACUGGGCGUAAAGGGUGUGUAGGCGGCAGUAUUAGUCUCUUGUGAAAGGCUUUGGGCUUAACCCAGAGAGCGCGAGGGAAACGGUACUGCUUCGAGGGCACGAGAGGUAGAGGGAACUCAUGGUGUAGGGGUGAAAUCCGUUGAUAUCAUGGGGAACACCAAAUGCGAAGGCACUCUACUGGCGUGCUCCUGACGCUGAGACACGAAAGCGUGGGGAUCGAACGGG
rnacentral:rRNA from 1 species